GCAGCUCCUUCCAGGGACAGAGCUCGAGCGCAGCUACGUACGCAUCCCAGCAUGGCUUUCACUUCCAGAGCCUUGGCCGCGUUCCUGUGCGUGCUCCUGGCCUCACUCAUGUUCCUCGCGCAGCACGCGUUCGCCGCCAGAGGUACUUUGAGCAACGAGACGCCAUACGGGGUCACCUACAAGGCCCCGCCCGGUGGUUAUGGGAGUUCUCCUCCAUGAUAGGCCGGAGAUGAUGAUACUUGGAGCAGCGAAACACAAAUACGUACGGCGGAGCAUGAAUAAAUUUGCACUAGUUGCUGAUAUAAAGCAAAGCAUAGUGAUGCACGGUUUUAUGUUGUUAUUGAGUUUCCCUUUAUAUAUAUACAAAUAAA